AAUAUUGGACAAUGGGGGAAACCCUGAUCCAGCCAUGCCGCGUGUGUGAAGUAGGUCUUCGGAUUGUAAAGCACUUUAAGUUGGGAGGAAGGGUUGUUGGCUAAUAUCCAGCAAUUUUGACGUUACCGACAGUAUAAGCAACGGCUAACUCUGUGCCAGCAGCCGCGGUAAUACAGAGGGUGCAAGCGUUAAUCGGAAUUACUGGGCGUAAAGCGCGCGUAGGUGGUUCAGUAAGAUGGGUGUGAAAUCCCCGGGUUUAACCUGGGAACUGCUUUCAUAACUGCUGAGCUAGAGUACGGUAGAGGGUAGUGGAAUUUCCUGUGUAGCGGUGAAAUGCGUAGAUAUAGAAAGGAACACCAGUGGCGAAGGCGACUACCUGGACGAAAACUGACGCUGAGGCACGAAAGCUAGGGUAGCAAACAG
rnacentral:rRNA from 1 species